AAAGCCAUGUGAGGAAAUCUCAUAAUCUCAAAGGGUUCACUUGUAGUUAUGAAGGGGGAGACUCAACCUAACUUCCUGUAUCGACUAUGUGUUACAACAAUGACUAGUAGAGCAGCUAUAUUUACCAAGAAUGACUCAGAGGAUGAGACUUAACUUUGUCAUUUGAGGUUAGGGCAUAUGAGUGAGUGAGCCAUGCAAG
rnacentral:lncRNA from 1 species